UUCUUAGCAUUCUCCCUGAACACUUCAACCGCUUCUUGAAUGACACUAUAGGAAACACUAUAGGAAGGAUUCAACCCGAAAUCUUAAGAGCCUCUCCGACUAAUCUACUUCACCUAGUGGUUGUGAGAUUAAACCUGGAUGACCCCUGCAUGGACUUUCUUGUGCUCCAUGGGAGAACUACUAACAGGAAAGGAGAAUGAGAUAAUGAAGAUGAAGGAAAAAUAUGAACAGGUGAUCCAGUGGAACUUGCUAAAUAUAAUUAAAAGACUCCAUCACUAUAAAAUCAGGAAGAAGCAAAGCACAACUCCAUUAAGCAAAAAUAAAAUGCACAAGUAGUAUUGCUGAAUGACAGCAAGAGUCACGAGAACAUCACCACAAGGUUUUAAUUGGCCCUGAAACAGGCACCCACCCGACAAAUACACUUGAAGAAUUUAUUCCAAAAUCUAGAUGCCAUCACAGAAAAGGUUCUGUCUCUGUUCACUGCUGACUUUAUAUUUGCAAGAUAUGCGUCUGCCUCAGGAGGAGCAGCAAAUGUGCC